GCUAACUACGGGCCAGGCGCCGCGGUAAUACGUAGGGGGCAAGCGGUAAGCGGAAUUACUGUGCGGAAAGCGUGCGCAGGCGGUUAUAUAAGACAGAUGUGAAAUCCCCGGGCUCAACCUGGGAACUGCAGUUGUGACUGUAUAGCUAGAGUACGGCAGAGGGGGAUGGAAUUCCGCGUGUAGCAGUGAAAUGCGUAGAUAUGCGGAGGAACACCGAUGGCGAAGGCAAUCCCCUGGGCCUGUACUGACGCUCAUGCACGAAAGCGUGGGGAGCAAACAGGAUUAGAUACCCGGGUAGUC
rnacentral:rRNA from 1 species